rnacentral:rRNA from 2 species
AAAACUUUCAACAACGGAUCUCUUGGUUCCCGCAUCGAUGAAGAACGCAGCGAAAUGCGAAAACUAAUGUGAAUUGCAGAAUUCCGUGAAUCAUCGAGUCUUUGAACGCACAUUGCGCCCUUUGGUAUUCCGAAGGGCAUGCCUGUUCGAGCGUCAUU